rnacentral:tRNA from 1 species
GUCCCCAUCGUCUAGAGGCCCAGGACGUCGCCCUUUCACGGCGUUAACGAGGGUUCGAAUCCCUCUGGGGACGCCA